rnacentral:rRNA from 1 species
UACGUAGGUGGCGAGCGUUGUCCGGAAUUACUGGGUGUAAAGCGCGUGUAGGCGGCCAGGUAGGUCCGACGUGAAAACUGGAGGCUCAACUUCCAGCUGUCGUUGGAAACCAUCUGGCUAGAGUCCGGAAGAGGAGAGUGGAAUUCCUGGUGUAGCGGUGAAAUGCGCAGAUAUCAGGAAGAACACCCAUGGCGAAGGCAGCUCUCUGGGACGGUACUGACGCUGAGGCACGAAAGCGUGGGGAGCAAACAGG